CCAUGUCCAUGGCCGUACCAUCCUGUCGGAUAGCUUAUCAGACUGAUGUUGACUGUUGGAUCUCAUGGCAACAACAGUCGGUAGGCUGUCUGACAUUUUGGUAUCUCUCAUCUGACCGUUU
rnacentral:precursor_RNA from 10 species